UGAGGGAAAGAAAGCUAGACCAGGGUUAUCGGUGUGGAUCGCACACAAGAAAGAGACUGCUAACGGAUGAGACACGUUUUAAGCGAUUCCGUAAAAUGGAUUUCUGCAUAAACUGAAUUUUUAAAUUAGGACUUACAACCAGGUUCUUCUGUGUGACACACUGCGGGAGGUAAAGAUGGACGCUGAAAUUACAACAUUGUUUUGAGCACCACAGAAAUUGCCUUUUUUCUUCUUGUUUCAUGUUUUUAUGGAGUAUUUGCCAGUCCAAAUACAGAUGGUUAAAGAGUUUUGGUCCUGUUAGCGGUCCGUGACUCCAUUUUGUCUCCAUGACACCUGCAGCAGCAUCGGGCUCACCAGACAAAGCCUUCGUCCAACUGAACCUGGAGCUUGCACCCUGCCUCCUUUGUGGUUCCACAUUUGGACAUCCUGGAGUAAAUAUCUCUCAGUUGCUGCCUGACCAGCUGGAAAAGUGGAUGGAACUUUAAAGGACCAGCUGUAUGCCAGAACACCUGAAACAGGUUAAGAGCUCAACUAGGCCCAGGAGCUCCAGUGUCAGACCAAAGUGAAGACCCUCCCACUGUAUGACAAAAUACCCAACAUGGCUUCCCUCAGCAGAGGAUAGCAGUGCAGACAGGACUGGAGUCUGACUUAGCGCUAGAGGCGAGAAAACAACAAAAUGAUCAGAAACUGACCUGAGAGAAACAUCUGCAGUAAAGGCUUGCAGCUCAGCAGGAAUGAAGAGAGUAGAUGAAUCACUGAAUUGUUUCAUGGGCAUGCGGGUGUUUUUGGUGCCAUUUUUUUCUUAACCGUGUUGCGAGCCAGCGUGAUUUAUUAUUUUUACCCUAAGAGACAUCUGUUACACCAUUCCCUGUUUUUGUAAUGCAUCAUCAGCCAGAGGAAAAGUAAUAUUAUCCAGCCUGGGAUAUUGCACUCUGGAGUCUAAUAAUCUAAUGUAUACUAGGGCUGUUGUCAUUAAAUUGCCAGUGGAGCUGUUGGAAGAUGCUGGUGAUUCAGGUAGAAAAGCUGUGUGGAGGCUGGUAGGAGACAGACAGGAGACAUUGAUGCUAAUCAACAAUCUCUCCAUGGACAUGAAGUGGCGGCCCUGCCUGACUACGAGCAUGCUUUAGUUCUUAUUAAGGAGAAAGGAGCCAGUGAUCCACCUGAAUAUUCAAGCGAGGUCUGCAAGCAGAGCAAGAUACAGUGUGCACAGCUCUGGACUGAUCGGCUCCUGUUCCUCUCAGCCAUAUUCAAGCCUUUUGGAGUGCAGCUGACUAAGUCAGUGUUUCCUCCCUGAAGUGUCUGAAUAUCGACCAGGCCUCAGUGACACGACACCUGCUGGAAAUUUCAGGUAUUUGACUACAAGAGGAAUGCUGAUUACAAGAGGAGAGAGGCAGCAGAUGAAUCAAAAUCUCAUAGCCUUUGUUUUUCAUCUGCUAUUAUGGUUGCAGAGUUGGAAGACUUUCUUCUGAAGAUCUUAUCCCUGAGGGGAGCCUGCCCUUUACAGACAUUUCUAACAUUUUGGAAAUUACUCCGAUUGAGAAGAUUCUACUUUUAGUAUUAUAACAACCUUCAGUCAUCAGUGAAGAGAACUAAAACAUGUUCAAGCGGUGUGAUAUAAAAAAUACAUACAAUGAACAGUGCAUAAAGGCUGUAAAAUCACAGUCAUUGCUAAUUGUUCUGUGUAGGCUUUUAGUUUUUUCUAAUUGCUGUCGGAGUACUUUAAAGCACUUUGUUGUACUUUUAUCUUUUAUAUAUUGAUCUUUAUUGUGAUUAUUGCAUUUCUGUAUGUUGACAUCUACAAAAGAAGAUAUGCUUAAGCAGCACCCAGCAACUACUCCUAAAGUAAAAUGCCCACAAGUCAAAACAGCCAAAAUCUUAAUGAGUCUGGCCAGAUAGAAAGGGAAUUUCUGCAAAAUAAAAGAAUA